GACGAACGCUGGCGGCGUGCUUAACACAUGCAAGUCGAACGGAAAGGCCCUGCUUUUGUGGGGUGCUCGAGUGGCGAACGGGUGAGUAACACGUGAGUAACCUGCCCUUGACUUUGGGAUAACUUCAGGAAACUGGGGCUAAUACCGGAUAGGAGCUCCUGCUGCAUGGUGGGGGUUGGAAAGUUUCGGCGGUUGGGGAUGGACUCGCGGCUUAUCAGCUUGUUGGUGGGGUAGUGGCUUACCAAGGCUUCGACGGAUAGCCGGCCUGAGAGGGUGACCGGCCACAUUGGGACUGCGAUACGGACCAGACUCCUACGGGAGGCAGCAGUGGGGAAUAUUGCACAAUGGGCGGAAGCCUGAUGCAGCAACGCCGCGUGCGGGAUGACGGCCUUCGGGUUGUAAACCGCUUUCGCCUGUGACGAAGCGUGAGUGACGGUAAUGGGUAAAGAAGCACCGGCUAACUACGUG
rnacentral:rRNA from 1 species